UACAGAGGGGGCAAGCGUUAUUCGGAAUUAUUGGGCGUAAAAGGGCGCGUAGGCGGCCGUGCAAGUGGAAGGUGAAAUACCCUCGGCUCAACCCGAGGAACUGCCUUUCAAACUGCAUGGCUUGAGUCCGGGAGAGGUGAGUGGGAAUUCCCAGUGUAGCGGUGAAAUGCGUAGAUAUUGGGAGGAACACCAGUGGCGAAGGCGGCUCACUGGACCGGAACUGACGCUGAGGCGCGAAAGCUAGGGGAGCAAACGGGG
rnacentral:rRNA from 1 species